rnacentral:sRNA from 1 species
GUUUCAAUUCCUCAUAGGCAGGCUAUCGGCGCGGCUACUAUGAGGUCACGCGGGAAACCGACCGCGG